rnacentral:rRNA from 1 species
UUAAGUUAGAAAGGGCGCACGGUGGAUGCCUUGACACUAGGAGUCGAUGAAGGACGGGACUAACGCCGAUAUGCUUCGGGGAGCUGUAAGUAAGCUUUGAUCCGGAGAUUUCCGAAUGGGGAAACCCACCAUACGUAAUGGUAUGGUAUCCUUAUCUGAAUACAUAGGGUAAGGAAGACAGACCCAGGGAACUGAAACAUCUAAGUACCUGGAGGAAGAGAAAGCAAAUGCGAUUUCCUGAGUAGCGGCGAGCGAAACGGAACAUAGCCCAAACCAAGAGGCUUGCCUCUUGGGGUUGUAGGACAUUCUAUACGGAGUUACAAAGGAACGAGGUAGACGAAGCGACCUGGAAAGGUCCGUCGUAGAGGGUAACAACCCCGUAGUCGAAACUUCGUUCUCUCUUGAAUGUAUCCUGAGUACGGCGGAACACGUGAAAUUCCGUCGGAAUCUGGGAGGACCAUCUCCCAAGGCUAAAUACUACCUAGUGACCGAUAGUGAACCAGUACCGUGAGGGAAAGGUGAAAAGCACCCCGGAAGGGGAGUGAAAGAGAUCCUGAAACCGUGUGCCUACAAGUAGUCAGAGCCCGUUAACGGGUGAUGGCGUGCCUUUUGUAGAAUGAACCGGCGAGUUACGAUCCCGUGCGAGGUUAAGCUGAAGAGGCGGAGCCGCAGCGAAAGCGAGUCUGAAUAGGGCGUUUAGUACGUGGUCGUAGACCCGAAACCAGGUGAUCUACCCAUGUCCAGGGUGAAGUUCAGGUAACACUGAAUGGAGGCCCGAACCCACGCACGUUGAAAAGUGCGGGGAUGAGGUGUGGGUAGCGGAGAAAUUCCAAUCGAACCUGGAGAUAGCUGGUUCUCCCCGAAAUAGCUUUAGGGCUAGCCUUAAGUGUAAGAGUCUUGGAGGUAGAGCACUGAUUGGACUAGGGGUCCUCAUCGGAUUACCGAAUUCAGUCAAACUCCGAAUGCCAAUGACUUAUCCUUAGGAGUCAGACUGCGAGUGAUAAGAUCCGUAGUCAAAAGGGAAACAGCCCAGACCGCCAGCUAAGGUCCCAAAGUGUGUAUUAAGUGGAAAAGGAUGUGGAGUUGCUUAGACAACUAGGAUGUUGGCUUAGAAGCAGCCACCAUUUAAAGAGUGCGUAAUAGCUCACUAGUCGAGUGACUCUGCGCCGAAAAUGUACCGGGGCUAAAUACACCACCGAAGCUGCGGAUUGAUACCAAUGGUAUCAGUGGUAGGGGAGCGUUCUAAGGACAGUGAAGUCAGACCGGAAGGACUGGUGGAGUGCUUAGAAGUGAGAAUGCCGGUAUGAGUAGCGAAAGACGGGUGAGAAUCCCGUCCACCGAAUGCCUAAGGUUUCCUGAGGAAGGCUCGUCCGCUCAGGGUUAGUCAGGACCUAAGCCGAGGCCGACAGGCGUAGGCGAUGGACAACAGGUUGAUAUUCCUGUACCACCUCUUUAUCGUUUGAGCAAUGGAGGGACGCAGAAGGAUAGAAGAAGCGUGCGAUUGGUUGUGCACGUCCAAGCAGUUAGGCUGAUAAGUAGGCAAAUCCGCUUAUCGUGAAGGCUGAGCUGUGAUGGGGAAGCUCCUUAUGGAGCGAAGUCUUUGAUUCCCCGCUGCCAAGAAAAGCUUCUAGCGAGAUAAAAGGUGCCUGUACCGCAAACCGACACAGGUAGGCGAGGAGAGAAUCCUAAGGUGUGCGAGAGAACUCUGGUUAAGGAACUCGGCAAAAUGACCCCGUAACUUCGGGAGAAGGGGUGCUUUCUUAACGGAAAGCCGCAGUGAAUAGGCCCAAGCGACUGUUUAGCAAAAACACAGCUCUCUGCGAAGCCGUAAGGCGAAGUAUAGGGGGUGACACCUGCCCGGUGCUGGAAGGUUAAGGAGAGGGGUUAGCGUAAGCGAAGCUCUGAACUGAAGCCCCAGUAAACGGCGGCCGUAACUAUAACGGUCCUAAGGUAGCGAAAUUCCUUGUCGGGUAAGUUCCGACCCGCACGAAAGGUGUAACGAUUUGGGCACUGUCUCAACCAGAGACUCGGUGAAAUUAUAGUACCUGUGAAGAUGCAGGUUACCCGCGACAGGACGGAAAGACCCCGUGGAGCUUUACUGUAGCCUGAUAUUGAAUUUUGGUACAGUUUGUACAGGAUAGGCGGGAGCCAUUGAAACCGGAGCGCUAGCUUCGGUGGAGGCGCUGGUGGGAUACCGCCCUGACUGUAUUGAAAUUCUAACCUACGGGUCUUAUCGACCCGGGAGACAGUGUCAGGUGGGCAGUUUGACUGGGGCGGUCGCCUCCUAAAGUGUAACGGAGGCGCCCAAAGGUUCCCUCAGAAUGGUUGGAAAUCAUUCGUAGAGUGUAAAGGCACAAGGGAGCUUGACUGCGAGACCUACAAGUCGAGCAGGGACGAAAGUCGGGCUUAGUGAUCCGGUGGUUCCGCAUGGAAGGGCCAUCGCUCAACGGAUAAAAGCUACCCCGGGGAUAACAGGCUUAUCUCCCCCAAGAGUCCACAUCGACGGGGAGGUUUGGCACCUCGAUGUCGGCUCAUCGCAUCCUGGGGCUGUAGUCGGUCCCAAGGGUUGGGCUGUUCGCCCAUUAAAGCGGUACGCGAGCUGGGUUCAGAACGUCGUGAGACAGUUCGGUCCCUAUCCGUCGUGGGCGUAGGAAAUUUGAGAGGAGCUGUCCUUAGUACGAGAGGACCGGGAUGGACGCACCGCUGGUGUACCAGUUGUUCUGCCAAGGGCAUAGCUGGGUAGCUAUGUGCGGAAGGGAUAAGUGCUGAAAGCAUCUAAGCAUGAAGCCCCCCUCAAGAUGAGAUUUCCCAUAGCGUAAGCUAGUAAGAUCCCUGAAAGAUGAUCAGGUUGAUAGGUUCGAGGUGGAAGCAUGGUGACAUGUGGAGCUGACGAAUACUAAUAGAUCGAGGACUUAACCAU